UCCUCAAGCCUUCACCUGACUCUAAUGUAAUGUGGGGAAUCUUAGUUGUGGGAGGUUGAAUUCGAUUCUUCUCCAACCUGUGAGCCGGGGGCAAUUCAAUUUGUGCGGAGGUCCUGAGUUCCAUUCUUCUCCACCUGUUCAGCCACUUACACGAGGAAUCGAGGGUACAGCACCAUUUCCGGUUUUCACGCGUGGAGUGAGGCACGAAAGCUUACCAGAGCUAACCAUGUCCCGUCCAGUGACUCCAGUCCUCAAUAUGUUGUGUUCUCGCUUCUCACAGUUGAGAGCUUCAGUUCCACACUCCCAUUUGCAAACCCGCAUCGCCUGGUUUUGCCGACUGAGCGAGGGCUAUCUACAUACUGACUUCAUUUUGGGGUAAAAGAUGGAGAAAUAUCCUUAAGGGUCUGCCACAGUGAGGUCAUUUUCCAUUUUCUUGUUUUUUGUUAAACAUUCUAUAUUUCAAUAGAGUGAAGAAGGCGCAAUGUGGCACCCAAAGAUCAUGCAAUUGCAGUAUUACUGGUGUUAGUACUGGUUACUGAGAACUUAAAUGAAUUGGAGUUUGUAAGUAAAAAUCCCAGCCAUAAAAAACUAUGGAGCCCAGUUUUGUCUGCUACCGAUUGCCUGAUAUGAGUAGUCAAAAUCACAACCAAAUACUCUGGCAUAACCUGAUUCAUAGCAUCACCUAUAGUGCAACUAAUAUUCUGAUAUGUGAUAUACUGAUAUGAUUGGUCAUUUACCUAAGCUUCCACCGGUGUGAAUUUUAUGACUGUAGGGUCUUAAGCGAGACUAACCGAUCAUUAAUGCCAUAGUGAUUGCCUUUUGCCUGAAAGUGAAAGACAAAUCUCAUGAUUGGGCAUGGGCUUAGCUUCAGAGAAUUCUUCAGUUAUUGGAGCAAUGUUUGGUAUUUGGAUGAACCGUAAUGUGCCUCUGUUGGAGAAUAGUUUGUAGAAUUGAUGAUGCAUAUAUUGAUAUCAUAUAUUGUGUCCAAUUUCUGUAUUGUUUAGUUAAAACCUCAUUAGACUCGGACUCGGUUCUAUAUGUCUAACCCAUUUUCUCGAAUGGAACUGAUCUUUCUGUGAUUUCCUCUCCCGCAGGUGGCAUCUGCUCACUUGCCUAAUCAUUUUAUUUAGAUAAUUAGAUGUUUAAUAUUUUCUGUUUUACACCCUUAUUGUGUUUGAGUGCAUUGGCCAUGGUCAUCAUUGUCACUAGAACAGUAUUAAGUCACAUCCAUUUUGUUUCCAGCAAACAUGUCCGAGGUACUCUUUGCCUCAACUCUACCAUUAGCCUCCUACAACCAUCGUCUCCUUGUCAUAUGCAUGCUACCAUUGGUUGGAACCAGUGGAACCAGGUAGGGGCGCAAGUGGGCCAGGCCGUGGUCGGGGAAUUGAAUUGAGCCAAAACCUGGCCUGGUUCAUUUUGAUCCAAAGUUUGAGUCUGCAAUCGGCCUUAGGUGUACCCCUAGAACCAUGUGUCAUGAAAUCAGUCUUCAUCAGACAAGAGCAGCCGCAUUGUUUAAUCCAUAUUAACUGCAGCAAAGUUCUUGGCACCACCUCUUAUCUUUUGGCACAACUUAACAUCCAACACCAGUUCCACUUUCUGUCAUUACAAGGAUGAGGAAGGGUGUAUUUGGAAGCAAAAGGGACAGGUGUUGGAGGCUGAUAUGUAUGAUCAGGUGAUUGUAUGAGCAGCCGAUCCUUACUUCUAUCUUUUACGAUGUAGAUGUUGCAGUACCUUCAAGUUGUUUGCCUUCUUAUUAGCAGCCACGGUUGCCUGUGCUCUGUUAACUUUGGGGGUUUAAAACCAUUGUAGAACUUACAGCCCUCACUGUAAUGAUGCAAAUUCUGAAGUGCAAAAUUUUAUGUUA